GAUGAACGCUGGCGGCGUGCCUAAUACAUGCAAGUCGAGCGAACGGACGAGAAGCUUGCUUCUCUGAUGUUAGCGGCGGACGGGUGAGUAACACGUGGAUAACCUACCUAUAAGACUGGGAUAACUUCGGGAAACCGGAGCUAAUACCGGAUAAUAUUUUGAACCGCAUGGUUCAAAAGUGAAAGACGGUCUUGCUGUCACUUAUAGAUGGAUCCGCGCUGCAUUAGCUAGUUGGUAAGGUAACGGCUUACCAAGGCAACGAUGCAUAGCCGACCUGAGAGGGUGAUCGGCCACACUGGAACUGAGACACGGUCCAGGCUCCUACGGGAGGCAGCAGUAGGGAAUCUUCCGCAAUGGGCGAAAGCCUGACGGAGCAACGCCGCGUGAGUGAUGAAGGUCUUCGGAUCGUAAAACUCUGUUAUUAGGGAAGAACAGAUGUGUAAGUAACUGUGCACAUCUUGACGGUACCUAAUCAGAAAGCCACGGCUAACUACGUG
rnacentral:rRNA from 1 species